AUAAACAACUCAGCUCCUGGUAAUUUUCUCCCCUCUGGAUAGAGCCAAGUGGAAAUUGCUGCUAGUGGAUAUGCUACAGCUGCUUGUGACAUUCUGAGAAGGUGGAUAUUUGCAAAUAAUACAGUUCACUUGACCCUCGCUGCUUGGCAAUGAAAGAAAAACAAUCUGAAGUACUUUCUUGGGGUUUUGGAGUGUGUGCAUGAGUUUGUUCAUUUCUAAAGAAGAUAAACUGUCUGGAGCUCCACUAUUGUCCCAAAUACAAAUUUGAAUACUGGAGGUUCAUAAUGGGAUUGAUUCUGCUCUGUGAAAAGUAAUUAUUUGUCCAUAAAACCAGGAAGCUACAGAAAUGAACUCGGAUGGCAACAGCCUUUUGUUCAGCUCCUUUGCAGUGAAGAGGGAAAAUGCCUGACUGCAUUGCACUUUUACAAGGCCCAAAACUCUUGAGCCAACUACAGUGAAAUGGUGAACAAAAAGCCAGUCUAAUACAGCAGGAUGUUCCUUCACAGUAUUUUAGAAAAAUAAAAAAAAAACCAAAUUAAGAAAAAGAAAAAAA
rnacentral:lncRNA from 1 species